UACGUAGGUGGCAAGCGUUGUCCGGAUUUAUUGGGUUUAAAGGGUGCGUAGGCGGUGCCCUAAGUCAGUUGUGAAAUACGGCAGCUUAACUGUCGAGGUGCAAUUGAUACUGGGUUACUUGAGUACUGAUGAGGUAUGCGGAAUGGACGGUGUAGCGGUGAAAUGCUUAGAUAUCGUCCAGAACACCGAUAGCGAAGGCAGCAUACUAAGGAGUAACUGACGCUGAGGCACGAAAGUGUGGGGAUCAAACAGG
rnacentral:rRNA from 1 species